CCUAGCCAGUAUGCCUGAGCAUAGAGAACUUUAGUUCAGCCCCCCGAAACUAAGCGAGCUACUUCAAGACAGCCUAUGUCGGGCAAACCCGUCUCUGUUGCAAAAGAGUGGGACGAUCUUCAAGUAGAGGUGAUAAACCUACCGAGCCUAGUUAUAGCUGGUUGUCUGAAAAGUGUAUAUAAGUUCAGCCUCCCGACUCCCCCCAUCCAGGACGCCCACGUUUCCUAAGACCAAGUGUGACCGAGAGAGUUAGUCAAAGAGGGUACAGCCCCUUUGAAAAAGGACACAACCUCACCGGGAGACUAAAGAUCAUAAUUAACCCAAGGAACCUUGUUUUAGUGGGCCUAAAAGCAGCCACCUAUAAAGAAAGCGUUAAAGCUCAUACAAAUUCCAACCAUCAAUACCGAACCCUACUCUGCACUCCCCACCCACUACCAGACCCUCCCACGAACCCUGGGAAAGACCCUGCUAGGAUGAGUAAUAAGAGGGACUGCCCCUCUCCCCCACACAUGUGUACAUUGGAACGGACCCACCACCAAUAACUAACGAUCCCCCAUCCGAGGGAAGUGUAGCACUACCCGAAUAUCAAGGAAAGCGAACACAAUUAAUCGUUAACCCAACACAGGUGUGUGUACUGGGAAAGACUUAGACAAAGGGAAGGAACUCGGCAAACACAAGCCUCGCCUGUUUACCAAAAACAUCGCCUCUUGCAAAACGAACGAAUAAGAGUCCCGCCUGCCCUGUGACUAUAUGUUUAACGGCCGCGGUAUUUUGACCGUGCAAAGGUAGCGCAAUCACUUGUCUCUUAAAUGGAGACCUGUAUGAAAGGCACCACGAGGGCUUAGCUGUCUCCCCUUUAAAGUCAAUGAAAUUGAUCUCCCCGUGCAGAAGCGGGGAUACACUCGUAAGACGAGAAGACCCUAUGGAGCUUAAGACACAAGGCGGCCCAUGUGAAACACACCCCCGCAAAGGGGCUGAAUGAAAUGAGCCCCGCUGGAAUGUCUUCGGUUGGGGCGACCGCGGAGAAAGACAAAACCUCCGCAUGGAUGGGGGUACUACUCCCCUAAAACCUAGACCCACAGGUCAAACCAACAGUAUUUCUGACCACCAAAGAGCCGGCAAUGCCGAUCGACGGACCGAGUUACCCUAGGGAUAACAGCGCAAUCCCCUCCCAGAGCCCUUAUCGACAAGGGGGUUUACGACCUCGAUGUUGGAUCAGGACAUCCUAAUGGUGCAGCCGCUAUUGAGG
rnacentral:rRNA from 1 species